UCCCGACGCUCCGAGUCGCAGCCACAAUUAUUGGGUCUAAAACAUUCGUAGCUUGUCUUGUAAGUUCUUUGUGAAAUCCGGCAUCUUAAAUGUCGGGCGUGCAAGGAAUACUGCUUGACUUGAGACUGGAAGAAGCAAAAAGUAUGUUCGAGGUAGUGGUAAAAUAUGUUAAUCUUGAACAGACUAACAACAGCGAAGGCAUUUUGCUAGUACAGAUCUGACAGUGAGGAAUGAAGGCUAGGGUCGCGAAACG
rnacentral:rRNA from 1 species